rnacentral:RNase_P_RNA from 1 species
AGUGGGCCUGACGGUCGCGCGCCGCAAGGCGUGAGGAAAGUCCGGGCUCCAAAGGGCAAGAUGCCAGCUAACGGCUGGGCGGGGCGACCCGACGGAUUAGUGCCACAGAAAAGAAGACUCCCUCUUCUUGAGGGAAAAGCUGAAACGGUGCGGUAAAAGCGCACCAGCGCGUCGGCAACGGCGUGGCUUGGUAAACCCCAUCUGGAGCAAGCGCAAAUAGGAACGCGAUACGGUGCCCUUCCGUGCGCUCGGGUUGCGUGCUUGAGACGCGUGGUGACACGCGUUCGAGAUAAAUGGCCGUCCCAACGACAGAACCCGGCUUAUCGACCCACUCG